rnacentral:rRNA from 1 species
UUGUAUGGUUAAGUGACUAAGCGUACACGGUGGAUGCCUGGGCAGUCAGAGGCGAUGAAGGACGUACUAACUUGCGAUAAGCGCAGAUAAGGCAGUAAGAGCCGUUUGAGUCUGCGAUUUCCGAAUGGGGAAACCCAACUGCAUAAGCAGUUACUGUUAACUGAAUACAUAGGUUAACAGAGCAAACCGGGGGAACUGAAACAUCUAAGUACCCCGAGGAGAAGAAAUCAACCGAGAUUCCGGUAGUAGCGGCGAGCGAACCUGGAUUAGCCCUUAAGCACUCGGUGAAGUAGGUGAACAAGCUGGAAAGCUUGGCGAUACAGGGUGAUAGCCCCGUAACCGACGCUUCAUCGAGCGUGAAAUCGAGUAGGGCGGGACACGUGAUAUCCUGUCUGAAUAUGGGGGGACCAUCCUCCAAGGCUAAAUACUCCUGACUGACCGAUAGUGAACCAGUACCGUGAGGGAAAGGCGAAAAGAACCCCUGUGAGGGGAGUGAAAUAGAACCUGAAACCGUGUACGUACAAGCAGUAGGAGCACCUUCGUGGUGUGACUGCGUACCUUUUGUAUAAUGGGUCAGCGACUUAUAUUCAGUGGCAAGGUUAACCGUAUAGGGGAGCCGUAGCG